UUCCAGACUCCUACGGGAGGCAGCAGUGGGGAAUAUUGGGCAAUGGGCGCAAGCCUGACCCAGCAACGCCGCGUGAAGGAAGAAGGCCCUCGGGUUGUAAACUUCUUUUAUUCGGGACGAAACAAAUGACGGUACCGAAUGAAUAAGCCACGGCUAACUACGUGCCAGCAGCCGCGGUAAUACGUAGGUGGCAAGCGUUAUCCGGAUUUACUGGGUGUAAAGGGCGUGUAGGCGGGAGAGCAAGUCAGACGUGAAAUUCCAGGGCUCAACCCUGGAACUGCGUUUGAAACUGUUUCCCUUGAGUGUCGGAGAGGUAAUCGGAAUUCCUUGUGUAGCGGUGAAAUGCGUAGAUAUAAGGAAGAACACCAGUGGCGAAGGCGGAUUACUGGACGAUAACUGACGGUGAGGCGCGAAAGCGUGGGGAGCAAACAGGAUUAGAUACCCCAGUA
rnacentral:rRNA from 1 species